UACGGAGGGUGCAAGCGUUAUCCGGAUUUACUGGGUUUAAAGGGUGUGUAGGCGGGCAUUUAAGUCUGGGGGUGAAAAUCCCGAAGCUCAACUUCGGAACUGCCUUGGAUACUAUUUGUCUUGAAUUUAUGUUUGAGGUUGGCGGAAUAUAACAUGUAGCGGUGAAAUGCAUAGAUAUGUUAUAGAACACCGAUUGCGAAGGCAGCUAACUAAAACAUAUAUUUGACGCUGAGGCA
rnacentral:rRNA from 1 species